GAUGAAGAACGCAGCGAAAUGCGAUAAGUAAUGUGAAUUGCAGAAUUCAGUGAAUCAUCGAAUCUUUGAACGCACAUUGCGCCCGCCAGUAUUCUGGCGGGCAUGCCUGUUCGAGCGUCAUUACAACCCUCAGGCCCCCGGGCCUGGCGUUGGGGAUCGGCGGGGCGCCCCCCGCGGGCACGCGCCGUCCCCCAAAUACAGUGGCGGUCCCGCCGCAGCUUCCAUUGCGUAGUAGCUAACACCUCGCAACUGGAGAGCGGCGCGGCCAUGCCGUAAAACACCCAACUUCUGAAUGUUGACCUCGAAUCAGGUAGGAAUACCCGCUGAACUUAAGCAUAUCAAUAAGCGGAGGA
rnacentral:misc_RNA from 1 species